GAAUACUUCUCAAUUCAUACUGAUACCAAUAAAACAUACAAGUAUAUUAUGUUGUUUGCGUAUAUAAUUCAAAUUAAAUAAGUAAGAAAAUAAUCUUGCAGCAGUUAACAAAAGUCUCCAGAUAAGGUGAGCACAUUAUCAAUGGAUGCGCCGGAGUCAGAGUCAGGCGUGGUGUCGGGCGCGACCGCCAUAGUGUUGCGAGCGAGCAAGUUUGUCGGCGUCGCGCCGCUGCGGUUCACGCGCGGUUGCGGCGAUGGCUACCAUGUUACUGUUUGUCGCACUGCGGCGAUCAUCUCUUCUAUAGCUCUUAUAACAUUACGUUAGUUCUUCCGAUGUUAUUUAUAUUUACUACAUAGCUUAACGUCAAGCUUUAUAAAGAACGACGUGGUCGUGGUGUAAUUACAUUAAUAAUUAACGUUCUCUCCUUCAAUGAAAUGUCGCUACUUCUUUGCUUACGAAAAAUCAAUACAUUAAUAAUUAUAUACACAAAUGGCGAGCACCCGCGACUCAGUUCGCGUAAAAUUCUGUUUUUCUUGGAUUUUUCGAUAUAAAAAAUAUAAAAAGUCCAUGUUUUGCUAUGAUUCUGCUCUAUGUUACUAUUAUCAUUGUACCAAAGUUAUGUGACCGGUUUAAGGUAACAAACAGGGGUGAUGAUUUUGGCAGUCUAUAUAUGCGUUUGUAUGUUUAACCAUAGCGCCUACAUUUCUGAACCGAUAUUAAUGAGUGAGGCGAUUUAAAUCAUGGCGCGGGUGAGAUAGGCUAUUUAAAUGUUAUCAAAAUUUUGUAUGAUAGAAUUUAAGCCUCAGAUUCAACUUCUAAAAUAGUUAAACUGAGAUAAUUAUCACGUGUUUAGUAUCAAAAAGGUAUUGGCGACUACAUUACAAAUAUGUAGGUAUAUUUAUGUAUAUGUCAUAUUGUUUAAGUCAAAAUUAUAUUUUUUAUUAUUUA